rnacentral:rRNA from 1 species
UACGUAGGGCGCAAGCGUUGUCCGGAAUUAUUGGGCGUAAAGAGCUCGUAGGCGGUUUGUCGCGUCUGCUGUGAAAUCCCGGGGCUCAACUCCGGGCCUGCAGCCGAUACGGGCAGACUAGAGUUCGGCAGGGGAGACUGGAAUUCCUGGUGUAGCGGUGAAAUGCGCAGAUAUCAGGAGGAACACCGGUGGCGAAGGCGGGUCUCUGGGCCGUAACUGACGCUGAGGAGCGAAAGCGUGGGGAGCGAACAGG